rnacentral:rRNA from 1 species
AGCGGGCAUCCGGGGAGUCAGGGCAGACCUCAAAGGGAAAACUAGACGUAACGACGGGUUAGAGUCCACUGAGGAGGUCAGUCUUGAGUAAAACAGAAGAUUAAGUGUAUUGUUCAAGUAGCGGGAAGGAAUGAUUAGCUGGAAAGCAUAGCUGAAGCGUCACUCAUUGCGAAGGGAGAAUGUACAUU